rnacentral:rRNA from 1 species
GACGAACGCUGGCGGCGUGCCUAACACAUGCAAGUCGAACGGAGAUGCCGAGGUAGCUUGCUACAUUGGUAUCUUAGUGGCGGACGGGUGAGUAACACGUGGGCAACCUGCCCCAAAGAGGGGGAUAACACCGAGAAAUCGGUGCUAAUACCGCAUAACAUUAGAGCUUCGCAUGGAGCUUUAAUCAAAGGAGCAAUCCGCUUUGGGAUGGGCCCGCGUCUGAUUAGCUAGUUGGUGAGGUAACGGCUCACCAAGGCGACGAUCAGUAGCCGAUCUGAGAGGAUGACCGGCCACACUGGAACUGAGACACGGUCCAGACUCCUACGGGAGGCAGCAGUGGGGAAUAUUGCACAAUGGGGGAAACCCUGAUGCAGCAACGCCGCGUGGAGGAAGAAGGUCUUCGGAUUGUAAACUCCUGUCUUCUGGGACGAAUAAUGACGGUACCAGAGGAGGAAGCCACGGCUAACUAUGUGCCAGCAGCCGCGGUAAG